UGGCAGCCAUGACACUGCGCGGGUCCUU
rnacentral:sRNA from 1 species